GAUGAACGCUGGCGGCGUGCCUAAUACAUGCAAGUCGAGCGAACGGACGAGAAGCUUGCUUUUCUGAUGUUAGCGGCGGACGGGUGAGUAACACGUGGAUAACCUACCUAUAAGACUGGGAUAACUUCGGGAAACCGGAGCUAAUACCGGAUAAUAUUUUGAACCGCAUGGUUCAAAAGUGAAAGACGGUCUUGCUGUCACUUAUAGAUGGAUCCGCGCUGCAUUAGCUAGUUGGUAAGGUAACGGCUUACCAAGGCAACGAUGCAUAGCCGACCUGAGAGGGUGAUCGGCCACACGGGAACGGAGACACGGUCCAGACGCCUACGGGAGGCAGCAGUAGGCAAUCUUCCGCAAUGGGCGAAAGCCUUACGGAGCAACGCCGCGUGAGUGAUGAAGGUCUUCGGAGCGUAAAACUCUGUUAUGAGUGAAGAACAUAUGUGUAAGUAACUGUGCACAUCUUGACGGUACCUAAUCAGAAAGCCACGGCUAACUACGUG
rnacentral:rRNA from 1 species